ACUUUCCUGGGUGAGCUGGCACAGGUACUACAGAACAGAGCCCACACAUGUCCACCGUCUCUCCAGACGGCAUCCAGGGCAAAGUCUGUCUCCACCCAGUAGGCCUUGAUGGCUUAGUUGGUGCUUGUUCCUGGGGAUGUUCUUCCAGGGAGUGUGUGAAUCUGAAGGGCAAGUGGCAAGAAGCAAGAAGGCUUUUGCUGCAUUUUGUGUGUGGGAGUUGAAGUACCUUUGUAGCCCCGGAUAUCAGUGAAGAAAUUGUCAUCUGAAUAUGGUAGCAACAGCCGCAUCGACAUUUUGAGCCUUCCUAUAUAAAUAAAUAGCUCCUGCCAAUGGUGAAUGAUCAAGUGGAAGCGAGUUUUCUUUCAGGUCUUACAGUUCCUCUGAAACUGGAAACAAGUUCUCCAGGGAAACCUUGAUCAUCUGUGAUCAUCUGUGCUUAUUAUCCUUCGGGGCUAAGAGAACAUCUCAUUUAUGUCACGAGAGUCAUGACAUACAAAUGUUGCACACCUCAUAACCAAAUAUCUUUCAGUCCUCCUGUGAAGUCAAUUAUAAUCAUGGCUUCAAAUGAGAUGAAAAGAUUUCUAGUGGUAGGGAUGUUUGAAAUGGAGCUACAGUGGGGUGUGAAUUUGAUUCUACUACUUCAGAGGGAUUAAAAUCUAUCUUAGAACUUUCUACAGUUUAUUUUUUCUUGACUUGGGUCUUUCUUGAUGUCUUCUUGAAAGUAUGUUUAUGCAAGACAAAGUACCUGAUCAAUGAUAUGUAUCCAGUAGUUGUUUUUCUGAUGAAUGAAUGAAUGAGAACCUAUAUUGCUUCCUGUUUUUGUCUAUUUCAUACGUUUUGUUUAAUCCUGCAUAUAGUUUCCUACCUGGGGGUCUGAGGAUGUCUAGUGGGUAAAGGUAGUAUUAAUAACAUGUCAUUGAAUGAUCUUCAAAAUUUCGGAAAUGUUCAAGAAAUCUUAAAAUGUUCAACUUAUUUGCUCUUGGCUAGAAUUAUAUCAACAUAAUUUGUUAAUAGUAGCUCUCCUAUGCUGAUCAGAUUCCCUAAUUAGUAACUAUUUAAGCCCUUGAUUUAUUUUAUUUUUUUUUAAUUUUUAAUUCAAUUUAUUUUUUUUGAGAUGGGAGUCUUGCUCUGUCGCCCAGGCUGGAGUGCAGUGGCGUGAUCUCGGCUCACUGCAAACUCCACCUCCCAGGUUCACGCCAUUCUCCUGCCUCAACCUCCUGAGUAGCUGGGACUACAGGCCCGCCAACAAGCCCGGCUAAUUUUUUGUAUUUUUAGUAGAGAUGGGGUUUCACCACGUUAGCCAGGAUGGUCUCGAUCUCCUGACGUUGUGAUCCUCCUGCCUCGGCGUCCCAAAGUGCUGGGAUUACAGGUGUGAGCCAGCGUGCCAGGCCGAUUUAUUUUUUUUUAAAAGAGUAAAAAUUAUUGCUUAACAAAUACAUUUUUGUGACUAACAUUUCCAGAAUAUGGACUUUAUGGGGGUAAACAAAAAAAGAAGGAUUUGGCAUAAAAAAUGUGUUGGGAACUAUAAAAAUUUGAAUAUAAUAAGUGCUAAAACUAGUCUGAUGAGACUUCAGGAACAGCCAAAAUACACCCUAUUGGAGAGGUAAUGACAAGGACAUAUUAGUUUAAACUUCUUUUUGCCUGAUCUUGGCUUUAGACUGAUGAUACAUCCUUCUAAGAAUGAAGUAUUUCAUUUAAAGUGAAAAGAUUGCCUAGGUGCAGUAGCUCACACCUGUAAUCCCAGCACUUUGGAAGGCAGAAACCGGCUGAUAGGUUGAGCCUAGGAGCUCAAAGUUGCUCAGUCCCGGCAACAGAAUGAAACCCUGUCUCAAAAAAAACAAACGAAAAAGGAAAAAAAAAAAUUAAGUCAAUUUUAGAUUGAAGAAAUCUCUUGGAAGCUAAGUUCAGUCUUAGAAGAAAGUGACGAUCACAAGUGUGAUCUGGGCUAAUAAUUAAAUUUUAAAAUAUGUGAUAAGGCAAAAUGUGUGUUGAUAACAGGACAAAGAGAGGACAGUCAUUUCCCAAACUCAUAUGAGUAAUUCUCAGUUUCAUAGUUCUUCCAUUUGUUUUGAAUUGGUACCAUUUACAAAGGCAAAGGAGAGAUGCUGAGCCGGUUCCAGAUAUUACCUCUCCCAAUUGAACAAAAGCUCUCGAUCUUCUCUUUGUAUCGUAGAGUCAUUUCAGGACAGUUUUCCCGAGUGAAAGAAUGUUUGUUUGUUUUCUUCCUAAGUGUCUGGUAUACUUUUCUAUACAAGUAAAACAAAUAAAAAACUUUACAAAAAAGUUAUUUCUAUAUGACUUCAAAUUUUUCUUUUAGAUUUUGGGUUGGCUUUGAGAUUUCUAGGUUUAUCAUUCUUCAAAAUGGAAAAUGUUGCUUAUUUCUUUACAUUUCAUAAAGUAUGCUUUGUGUAAACAACUUCUCGUUAACCCUCAACCUACAGAUAAGGUCACAACUCCUUGGCAUGGCUUUUUUUUUUUUUUGAAAUGGAGUCUCGCUCUGUCACCCAGGCUGGAGAACAGUGUGCGAUCUUGGCUCACUGCAACCCCUACCUCCUGGGUUCAAGCGAUUCUCCUGCC
rnacentral:lncRNA from 10 species